rnacentral:rRNA from 1 species
UACGUAGGGUGCGAGCGUUAAUCGGAAUUACUGGGCGUAAAGCGUGCGCAGGCGGUUGGCCGUGUCCGAUGUGAAAGCCCCGGGCUUAACCUGGGAAUGGCAUUGGAAACUGGCUGGCUGGAGUGUGGCAGAGGGGGGUGGAAUUCCAGGUGUAGCGGUGAAAUGCGUAGAGAUGUGGAGGAACACCAGUGGCGAAGGCGACUCUUUGGCCUGUAACUGACGCUGAGGCGCGAAAGCGUGGGGAGCAAACAGG